UACGGAGGGGGCGAGCGUUGUCCGAAGUUACUGGGCGUAAAGCGCACGUAGGCGGAUUUGUAAGUCAGGGGUGAAAUCCCGGGGGCUCAACCUCGGAACUGCCUUUGAUACUGUGAAUCUUGAGUCCGAUAGAGGUGGGUGGAAUUCCUAGUGUAGAGGUGAAAUUCGUAGAUAUUAGGAAGAACACCGGUGGCGAAGGCGGCCCACUGGAUCGGUACUGACGCUGAGGUGCGAAAGCGUGGGGAGCAAACAGG
rnacentral:rRNA from 1 species